AGCAAAAUAAAAUUAAUGUAUAAAUAUUUGUAUUGUAUAAAUGUUGCAUUAAUUGAAUUAAUGCAACAUUUAUCCUGUUAUUUAUUAUCAAGCGAUUUUAAAAGCUUCGAAAAUAUUUACAUUAUUAAUAAAUUAAUUUAUGAAUUGAUUUGUUAAUGGAUUUGUAAAUAAGUCGAAUAUUGGUUCUUGUUGCGUAUACAGGGCAUAAAAAUUAUUUUUUUAUAAGUAGGAAGCGGCAUAACUGGUUCAGCACAAUUACAGAAAAGCGCAGUUCGUAUGCAUCUCUCGCGAAUUUUUUUGUGUUAAAUGCAUUUUUACGAGAACCGACUCUGUUUAUUAUAAGUGGGUAGUAGUAUUGCAUACUUCGUCAUCAAUAAAAUAUAAAAAAACAAUUUAAAUUGCGGCAAAUUCUGAUGUUGCAUACGUAGAGAUGACGUCCUUGAAGGAUGCAUUCAUUUGAUAAAGUAGUAAAUAAUAAACUCAUAAAACAGAUCUAUGACAAUGACGAUAACAAAGAUAAAGAAAAAUAUUUAAAAAUUGAAUUGAAAACUGUUACAUACUUCUAUAGAAAUUAUUUGCAUAAUUUGCAACUGUACGCACGAGAAAUUAAACCGAAGCAUGCGAUAAUUCUGCAGGAAAACGAACAAAAUCUGAGGAUACUUUUUGUUUUUUUCCUUUUUUGGAGGAAGAAAACAAAAGAAAAGCGACUUUGCUCUCUGGAAAGUACGCAAGGGUUUUUCUAGGUCGUUUAAACGAUCCGUAUCAACACGUUGGUUAUUCAGUAUCAGGCAUGCAGUCCGAUAACUUAUCUAAGAUACAGAUGGCGCAAGAAACAAAGAAGUAAAAGAAAGCGCCCUCAUGCGUCACAUACUGACAAAUUUACGUCAGCAAAAGUAUUGGUGAGGUAGGGUUGAGUGAUUGUGACGUGUUCCGGCAUCACCAUGUGGAAUAAUAAAACGAGGUAAGAUAACAAUAUUAAUAUUGGCUUGUUUAAUGUAUCUGUUGUAACCAUUUGGCUCACUAACAAGCUCAGUUUGCUUGACGCCUUCACACUUUAAUUUUUGAUAAUCUGGUUGGUUCCGUGGCCAUGACGUCAUUGAGACAUGUUUGAGUUGCGCAUUCUAGUAUAUCAUAAAAUAUGGCUCUUUAUCGACAUUAAAAUGUCACGUCAAGAAGUCUAAUUUUAAACUCUUCUCGAUACGAAAAAAAAAACAAAAAACGAAGAAAGUAAAGAAAAAAAGAAAAGAUGCAAAUCAUUCGAAUUAUAACUCGCUGCAAAAUUUUAACUGGCUCGAACUGCAGCGUAUCAAUUUGCACAGUGGACUUUAAGCGCAUAAAUAUAUAUUACAGCAGUUUAAAAUCGGAGGAUAAAUCCAUCUUUAUGUUGAUCGGCGCUAAAUGCAAAAAGAAUAACAAAAAAAAUAUUUAGGAAGUUCCGCAAAAAGCGCAAUAUUCGAUGAACACUGCAGGCCUGCGUAAAAGUGUACGUGUAAAUGGAAAACAUCGAAUGCUAAUUCGUUAUCUAAAAUAAACAGCGAUGAACUGAUUAAUGAAUAAGAUGCGAUAUUAUGAAUCAUAAAUAUGCUAAAGUUUUUUUUUUUUUUUUCCUUUGUUCGGUCGCUGCAGAUCAUUUGCAUAAAGGGAAACAUUGUCGCGAUAAACAGCUGAGCUAAAAAACUGAAAUGAGAUAAAUUCAACAAGUUGUUUUGUCGAAUAUACAAUUAAAUUUAAAUUAUAUAAAAUUUUAAACUAGUAGCAUAAAGAUGAUGACGAUUAAAUCCGAAAUAUCGCGUAAGAACUGUUUUUCCUAUUUCUUUCUUUCGCGAAGUAUCUGUACUGUAACUUCCGUAUAUAAGCCGAGCAUUUAUUAAGUCUACAGUCUAAUAAAAUAAUUUAAGAAGUGGUAAUAUUUA
rnacentral:lncRNA from 1 species